rnacentral:misc_RNA from 1 species
GAUGAAGAACGCAGCGAAAUGCGAUAAGUAAUGCGAAUUGCAGAAUCCGUGAGUCAUCGAAUCUUUGAACGCACAUUGCGCCCCUUGGUAUUCCAUGGGGCAUGCCUGUUCGAGCGUCAUUUGUACCUUCAAGCUCUGCUUGGUGUUGGGUGUUUGUCUCGCCUCUGCGUGUAGACUCGCCUCAAAACAAUUGGCAGCCGGCGUAUUGAUUUCGGAGCGCAGUACAUCUCGCGCUUUGCACUCAUAACGACGACGUCCAAAAGUACAUUUUUACACUCUUGACCUCGGAUCAGGUAGGGAUACCCGCUGAACUUAAGCAUAUCAAUAAGCGGAGGA